CGACCGAACAGAGAGGGAGAGAAACGGUGUGUUAAUUAAGGAAGUCUAUGAAAACGUUAGCAGCUGUCCAGAUGUUGUCAUGGUAACAAUAAACAGGUCGACAGUCGGAAGCACCGCGCGGUCCUCCGGUGAAACUCAACCGGCACCGGAGUCCAUGGUACACCUGUGGACCUCAGCAGCAGUGCGUGUCUGACCAAAAUCAUGAAGCAGAGCAAAAGGAAAGUUUCCCCAAAGAAUGAGAGCAGAUGUUAGUAUGGAGGCCACCAGGUCCAAACAGUCUAACCAGCUGGACCAGGGGGGAAGCCAGGCUACUGGUAGAUGCUGCACACCAA